AAACACACACACUGCAUUAUAUACACACUCUGCAUUGUAUACACAGAGUGUGUGUAUAUAAUGCAGAGUGUGUGUUU